AUUUAGGGUUUAGGAUUUAGUUAAGAUUUAGUUUAGGAUUUAGGAUUUAGAUUAGAGUUUGAGUUAGGGUUUGGAUAAGAUUUUAUUUAAGAUUUAGGGUUUGGUUAGGAUUUGAUUUAAGGUUUACGGUUUGGAUUAGGGUUUGGUUUAGGAUUUAGGAUUUGGAUUAAGAUUUGGUUAGGAUUUGAUUUAGGAUUUAGGAUUUCGUUUAGGAUUUGGUUGGGAUUUGCUUUAGGAUUUGGUUGGGAUUUGAUUUAGGAUUUGAUUGGGAUUUGGUUUAGGAUUUGGUUGGGAUUUGAUUUAAGGUUUUUUUAGGGUUUGAUUUAGGGUUUAGGAUUUUAUUAGAAUUUAAGAUUCAAUUAGUUUUGGCCUAAAGUAUGAAUGAAGUUUAAUAGGAUUUUAACUAGAAUUAAAUUAAGAUUAAAUUGAGAUGUAUUUGAGUGACAUUUGUAUUCUUUCUAAUGUUUCUUUAAGAAUUCUUAUCAUUUGUUUGAAAUUUCUUUGAGGUUGUAGAAUAGAUAUUAAUUUUUUUUUUAAAGAUAUUGAUAAAAUAUAUUAAUAGUCCAUAUAAUAGGAAAUUUAGGAGGACAGAUGAGUGAUUUAGUUCUUAAAAGCGGUUAAUCACAAAAUUAUGGUUAGAAUUUGGAGAAUCAGGAGAAAGUAUAUAGGAGUUGUAGAAGUUAAUUAGGGUGCUAGACUGUGAUAGUCAUGAGCCGAGGGCCAUUGCUGUGAUAGUUGUGAGCUGAGGUAAGCUUGGUGCUUCCUCUUUUCUUUUGUUUGUUAUUUUCUUUGAAUAAGAGGAUUGAGAGUUUCUCAAUAUUGUGAAGUGAAUUAUGGAAUGGAAAUGUGAUUGGUAUUAUUUGAGAAGAAGAAAGAUUGAAUGCUGAAAUCUGAUUGUAGUUCAGGAGAGAGAAUGAGUCUAUGUUUGUGUGAAACACCGUAAUGUGAAUGGCAGUUUUGUAUGAAGAACUCCAGUGAUUGGAAUGAGGGUAAUUGUGUGCUGAAAGUUGUGAGGGCGCAGUAUUACAGUUGGAGAUUAUGAGGGUGAAUAUAUUGGUAGAAAUAGCAGUUAUUGGUAUGACGGAAUUACUGUAAGAAAGAGACCGAUAAGGUGAAGGAGGAGAUUAUAGUUUCCUUGUGUGUUCAGAUAUUGGAAAUAGAGAUGAUACAUUUAGGAGGUAAUUGAUUGUGUAACCCUAACGUGAACGCUUAAGCAACUAGUCAUUUUCCGUAUUUGAAUCUCCCUAUACAUGUUUAUUCCUAUUAGAUUAAUUUGGAAUAAGUAAAAUGAGCAAUCACAUUUUGGUACUAUUGUCAGGGAGUGAUAAUAGCUUUGAGUGUUAGAAAUUAAUUAGUAAACGUGUGAGAAAAUUGGCAAUGGAAGAUGAUUUCAGUAGUAUUUGAAGCAAGAUUAUGGUUAUUAAGAAUGAGAAUUUAACAGCAAAGACAAUAAAGCAAUCAAAAGAAGGAACAGAGAGAUUGCAAGCAAGAAAUUUGUUGUGUAACAAGCGAGAUCACAAAUUGAAAAAGAAGCAUCGACAAAGUUGGAUUAAGCCAUGGUUGCAUGCUUGUCGGCAUAUUCGAUCAUAUCUAGAAGGUGAUCGACCUCUAAUAUUUCAGAAGUACAUACGGUUAAAAAAGAUGCCAAGAACACUCGCGGAGAGCGUUGCUAAUAGUCCAGCAUACCUCUCGAAGCCAUUAAUGGAAAGCGAGGAAGGCACAGAAGAAUUAGAUACCCUAUUGGGUAUUUUUCUAAUUGGAGAUACGUCCAAUUCUAACAAGAUUGGUUUUGAAGAUCGGCAUAAAUAACUUGCCAAUAAAGACCAAUUUAGAGUAUAUCAAAACUUGUCGUUUUCACCUCAUAUUCAACUAGUAAAAUUAUUUGGAGAUAAUAAUAGUCAAUUGGGAAGGCCUGGAAGUCCGAAAAAAACUUUUACAGGAGAUAGUUUUUAUUUUAAUAAGAAAUUGAGCAGAACAAUGGCAUCUUUAAUGACGUUGUCGUAUUGUAACACGUCUAUAUGAUGAAAAUAUAAAUGAAGAAGAUUUAUUAAUAUUUAGUCACCUUGGAUGUUAGAAGCGGCGGCCAAUUCCAGUGCAAAUAUUGAGAGGCCAGGUUCAGUCACCCUAUUAUAGUCAACCGGGGCAUACUCACCAAUAACAAAAUGCUCCAUUCGAUUCUAGUAACGGGAGUCAACUGGAAGAGAAAGGACCAAUUCAACCUCCAGUGAGCCUCAUUUGGAGAGUCAAUUGGAUCCGAUUUCAGAAGACAUCUAAUCACGGUCCUAUUACGGGCCUCUUAUCUAGUAUGAGACUUGACUUGGUCGGGCAAUCCAAUGCGGUCCAAUUACGGGGUUUUGAUUCUGUUUCAGGCUGUUCCGUUCUUUGUGCCGUUCUAGGAACGUCCUUUCAAUAAAAAGAUCUCUUAAAGGCGAAAAUGGGGGGAGAAAGCGAGGGGGUCGAUUGUUCCAAUUCGGAGAGUCCAAGGCGGAAGAAUAGGAUCUUCUCAAGGUAAAAGGGAGGGUAGGUUAAGAAAUGGAUUUUUUUUUCAAGAAUCGGGAUUUUAGGUCGGAGAGCUAGCUUCAUGCUUUCGGAAAAAGAUGGAGAAUUGGGAUUUUUUUUUUAUAUAUAGGAUUUUGGGCAGACUGAGAGGGGGGUUGCUGAAAGUCAGUGUUAUAUUGAUGAAUCGGAUUUUUCUGUAAGAGAGGAAAGGCUAGUACUCUUGAUUGUUGAUAGAAUGGGAGAUAUUUCUAAGGUUGAAAUUCAGAGUUCUCUAGAAGGUUGAGUAUGCUGAAUGCAUGCGUGGUUGUGUUAAUCUGAUUGUACGGAUAGAGGAUAUUUUCCAACAAUUUAAAGAGAUAUUGGGAGUUGGUAAAUUGGGGGUUGUUUAGGGUUUCUAUGAUAACUAGGGACCUACCGACAGGGAUAAGAGGAAUAUCGAUGAGCGGCCAAGGGACAUCGGUGUGGAUUGCAGCAUAGCCUCACAAUUUGUAAGCGGGGUUGAACUGAAACUUCUUGAGCAUUCAAAAGGACUUGCAGAGACAAUAGCGAUAGAUGUUUCAUCACAAGUCAGAAGAACAGAUUGAGGAUCACAUCUUGUCAAAGUUCACGAUCUAGGAUUAAGAUAAUUAACGAUAAAGAUAAAAUAAAAAAUAUAAAAUAAAUAUAAUAAAAUAAAAAUAACAAAAGAGAUUGAAGUUAUAUAGGGUCUUUAGGUAUUUUAUAUUGGAAUUAAGCUUUUACAUUGCAAUCUGAUAUAGAUUGUAUUUGGGUAGUGAAGAACCCGAUAGACUGCUUGAGUACUAGUGAAACACCAUACUAUCUCCUGCAGCCAGACGCCCGACGCAUUCUUAAGCAAGAUAGCACGUAAUACGACAUAAGUGGUGAACCCGACGUGAAAGCUUGAGGUAGAAUGUAUUGGAUUUCGUUUGAUUUUAUUUUUAUUUUUAUGGAGAAUGAAAAUAAAAUUUUUGAAGGAUCUUUGGGAGGAGUUUCUAGUGGAGGUUCUUCUAAAGGACAAGGUAUGCACAUGGAUCCGUCUAUUGCUAGUAUGUUUCAAGCCUUCUCAUUAUCAAUGCAACAACAACAAAGCAAUGAUUGAAAAGUAGCUUUGGCAACCAAAGCAUUGCAAGUAGUGGUCAAUAAAAUUGAUCAAUUUGAUGGAAGGAAUAUUUCAAGGUAUUUAAGAUGUUAUGUUCGUGAAAUGGAAUUAAAUUGGAUUUCUGAGAAGAAAAUGGUUGAAUUAUUUGGACUUGCUAUGAUACUAGAGAUAAGAGACCAUAUUACAUCGAUUACAGAUCGUUAUGGAAAUUCAUGGGAGGUUUUUUCACAUGCAUUGAAAGAUGAAUAUUUCUUGGAAGAUGCUGAUCGCGUUACUAAGAAGCUGUUUCUGGAAUGGAUUGAACGGCCUAAUAAGAAUUUGCAAGCAACAGAGCUAUUAAGAGAAUUUGAGAGGUAGUACUCUCAAUUAUCGAAGGUAGAAAAAUUGACAUUGGAGCCAAACAAAGUUGAUCUAUUUCUUCACGCUACUGAUAGAAAAUUGUAAGGAAAAUUGGAAUUCCUUCUUGAAGACAAAGAAGAAGAUGAAGGAUUGACAACAAAGUGGAAGAACGUUGAAGAUGCAGUGGGAUUGUUUGCAAAAAGAGAAAGGAGGAAGGAUAGGAGUAAUAUUCCAAAAACAGUACAAGCACCCAAAGCUCCAAUGCGUACAAUACCACCAACAAUGCCUACAGUUCAACCUUCGACAUCCUUAUCAAAGAAAGCAGACAUGGGGAUAGAAGAAAUUAUACGAGGAAUGUGAGAUCUUCAAAUCAAAUUGGCAAGACUUGAAGAAAAUACUUCUACAAACAAUUUGAAGAAUGUUUCAAAACAAGGAUAUGUACAAAGAUGCAUUUGGUGUGAUGACGCUUCAUACACUAGGAAAGAUUGCAAUGAAUUUAAUAAUAUGAUAUGGUAAGGAAUUAUUUGCUGGAAAGAUGGGAAGAUAGCAUUAAAAGAUAGAGAGGAACUUCUUUAAACCAAUUUUGGCAAGGGAGGAAUGAGAGCAAUGGUUCAAGAUUACUUAAAAGAGCAUGAAAUAGCAGCACGAGAAAGUGCAAGUUAUGGUGCUAGAGUAGAUGAUGAAAUUGGUGGAAGUAUGGAAACUAGUGAGUUUUGGGCUUCUGCCAUUUCUACAAUGCAAGAAGGGAAAUUACCUCGAGAAGCGUUAUUGAGAAUUGCAGCUAUAAUACGAGUUGCAACAGGUUGAAAGGAUCCUAUUGAGUCUCUUUCAAUUCAUGCAUAUAUUGCUAAGAGCCAACAUGAAGCUUUGAUGGAAGAAAAGAGACGAGGAAAUUUUGAUGAUACGAGAGAAGGAAAUUCUUUUAAGAAGUAAACUCGAGGAGACAAGGCUCGGGAGGCAGCUUCACAAGAAUUGCCUGUAAAGGAUACCUCAGCAUCAUUGGAAGAAAAAACAAUGGAGACAAAAGAUAAGAGCAAAUCAAUUGCUUAUAAGCUACUUUCUGAUAUUGAAGCGGCAACAAAUUUGAAAGGGGUGUUGGAAGAACGUAUAUUAAAUGUUAAGGUGGAAUUCACAUUGAAAGAAGUUUUGAAAUUACAAAGAAGGAGUUUCAUGAUGUUAUCAUUGAUAGCAUUAAGCGAAAGAGGUAAUUAAUGGCUGAAACUGGAAUGAGUCAUGCUAUUGAUGCAAGAAUAUAUAAAGAUGAAGAAGAGGUUGAUAUUGGUUACAAGCAACCAACAAAUGAAAAGAAUGGGUAUAAUCAACGAGUACAUUUCGAAGAUUCUAGUAAUAAGGAAAUGGAAACUUUGAGCCAUUAUAUUCGAAAGCAUUGAGCAAGGGUAUUUACUGAGGUAUUAGUAAAAGUAGGAAAUAUUGAAGAACUAAUUGUUGCUUUCGUGGACCAUGGUUCUGAAAUAAAUCUUAUGUCUAAAGAUCUUUAUAAGAAGCAAAAAUGGCCAAUUGAUAUGGAACAUGGAUGGGCAAUACGAGCAGCUAAUAAGACAUAGGGCGAAUUAUAUAGAGCUUGUUCAGAUGUCAAAAUUCGGAUUGGGGAUGUUGCGACGGAGCAACAUUUCUUUGUUCAAGAUACAACGUCUUAUCCGUUGAUUUUAGCACAACCUUAUAUUAUGGUAACACGGAUAGAAACAAAAGUACUUGAUGAUGGUUCUGCUUAUGCAAGGGUACGUAGCGAAGAUGGAAGGAAAGCUGUACAAUUUCUAACAGUACCUCCUAACCAUGAACGAAAUCGAGAUAGGUUGAGGGAAAAACCAUUGACAAAGAUUGUUGAAGGAUUUAAGGAUUUUAGGGAGGUACCACCAUAAAGCGAGAUUAUGGAGGUACAAAAGAGGAGGUACUCUUGCAAGAUGAAGGUACCUUUGAUGCGAGUUUUAUUGGUCUUUUGAAAAAUGGAAAUAUUAUGUAUAAGAAAGUUGAUGAUUUUAAAAGAAAAGAAAGAAAAAGAUUAUAUAAUAUUGAAGGAGAAUUAUGCAAGUUAGGUACAUUGUGAGAUGAUGAGAGGAUUUUAAGUGUUUAUGAAGAAAAUGGACUGGAAGAUUCAUUGGAAUUGAUUACAUCUAUUGGGUUAGAGGAUAAUGAUAAGAUUUUUGAGAUUCAUUCAAGAGAGGUUUAUACCAUACUUGAAUCUUUUCAAGCACCAGAAGUCACUGUAGAGACGAGAUAUAAAAUAGCAGAUAAGCAGGUAAAGCUUGUUGUCAAACCAUUAUCAACAGAUUCUAAGGAACAAAUGGGAGAAGCAUCAAAAGAAGCAAGUUUAAGAGAUCCAAUGAGAAUUGGACAUCAGUUUACUAAAGAGACUUUUGAAGAAUUGAAGAUUGGUUUUGAUGGUUCUUUAUUGCCAGAGGAAAUUACUUGCUUCAAAAAGAUGUUGGCUAAAUAAGAUAGAUCGUUUGCCUUCGAAUUUUAUGAAAUUGGGUGUGUGGAUCUGAAUAUUAUAACACCUAUGGUUAUCUUCACUGUACCGCAUGUACUUUAGAAUCUAAGACUGAUUUCAGUACCGAGGGCACAUUUACCUAAAUUGGUGGAACUAUUAAAAAAAAAGAUAAAGAUGAAAAUAUUAGAACCCUCAUUUACGCCGUAUUCUAGUCGAUGGUUUAUAAUACCUAAGAAGAAUGGGUCACUACAUUUUAUUCAAGAUAUGCAACCGGUGAAUGUAGUAACUGUCAAGAAUGCAAGAAUUGGACCUAUUGUGGAUGAAUUUACUGAGGCAUUUGCAGGAAGGGCGAUCUAUUCAAUGGGUGACUUGUAUUCAGGUUAUGAUCAAUUUCAACUUGCUGAAGGAAGUAGAGAUAUGAUAAUAAUGAGGACACUACUUGGAUUGGUUAGAAUGUGCACUCUUCCUCAAGGUGCGACCAACUCAAUUGUGCAUAUGAUGAAUGGGAUGAAUAAGGUAUUGAGAAAUUUUAUUCUGGAGAAGACUAUGCCUUUUUUGGAUGAUGUUCCUAUAAAAGGGUGCAGAGAAGAAGACAAGGAUGAAACUUUAGAUAAGAGGGGGUGUCGCAAAUAUAUUAUUGAUCAUAUACAAGAUUGUAAAAAUAUUUUAACUCGGCUUGGAGAAGUUCAUCUUACAUUAUCGAGUAUGAAGUCCAUAUUUGGAGUACAAGAGGUUGUAAUUGUUGGACAUUUAUGUGGAUCUUAUGGAAGAAAAUCAGAUCCGACUAAAUUGAUGCAAUUAGAAGGAUGAAAGAGGAUUGUGAUUCUUUAACAGAGGUUCGCAGGUUUUUAGAUGCAUGUAUAUUUUAUUGAAUUUGGAUCCCUCAUUAUGCUCACAUAGUGGAUCCAUUAUAUGAACUAUAAUGGAAGGGCUACCGAUUUAAAUGGGAAGAAAGGCAUAUUCAGGCAAUGCAAAGAUUGAAGAAAUUAUUGAUGUCACCUCCAAUAUUGAUGAAGGUUGAUUAUAAGUGCAAUAGACCAGUGAUUCUUACUAUGGACACUAGUCCAAUUGCCAUUGGAUGGGCUAUGGAUCAAGAUGAUUUAAGUGAGAAUAGAUUUGCAGUUCGAUUUGGAGCUAAAGUUUUAAGUAUUUGUCAACGUGCAUAUUCGCAAGUCAAAAGAGAACUUUGGGGAGUUAUUUCGGCUAUGAAAGCUGAAAAGGACUAUUUGAUUGGGGCAGUAGUAGUAAUUGAAAUAGAUUGCUUGCCAUUGCUUAGAAUUAUUACUAACUGUUCAAUGCCAGAUAUUACAAUGUUGAGAUGGAUUGCUUAUAUUAAGUCACUAAAUCUGGAAUUUAAGCAUGUUACUGAGAAAGACAAUUUAGUAGCAAACAUGUUAUCUCAAGUAAGAUACGAGAGGGAGGACAAAAUGGUUGAAGACAUUGAUGACGUUGAAUUGAAAUUCUAUUCAAUAUCAAAUCUCAACAGAGAAGACAAGCUAUUUCUUGAAGAAUCUUAUGAAGGAGAACUAUUGGAUAUUAGUCAUUACUUGAAUACCUUGACUAAGUAGGGGAAUUGAUCUACAGAAAAAUUCAAACAAAUAAGAAAAAAAGCAUAUAGAUUUUUGCUUGAAGAUGGAUUCUUAUGGAAGAGACCGAAAAAGGAAUUGGGAUGCCACAACGAGUGAUAAGCAAAAAAGAAGAAAAACUAAAAUUAUUAAAGGAGUUUCAUGAUAGUUUAUAGGCAGGGCAUAGAGGAAUCUAGACUACUUUUGCUAAAUUGAAGGAACGAUAUUGGUGGAAAAAUAUGUAUUGAGAUGUGCUCUCAUUUAUAGAAUCAUGUGAAAUCUGUCAAUGGUAUUGUAAUAUCUAACAUCGAGAUGGUCUUCAUCCUACGUAUCCUCUCGCUAUUCAUUUUAAAUGGAUUGUUGAUUUGGUUAUUAUGCGAGUUGGGUUAUGGCAGAUGAGAUAUUUAGUCUUAGCUCAUGAAGAUUUAUCAAAUCAAGUAGAAAGAAGAGCAUUGAAGACAAAAUCUACAAAGGAGAUUUGUAGGUUUUUGCUUGAAGAUGUCAUUUACCGCUACAGAUGCAUAAGAAAAAUCACUAUAGAUCGUGGAGAAUUAAAUGCACAAGAAGCUCGUAAGUUCUUUAAAAGAUGUGGAAUUAAACUAUCACUGACUACUGCUUAUAAUCCGAAAGGGAAUGCAAAAAGCGAACGUGGUCACCCAUCGAUUAUGAAAGCAUUAGUUAAAGCUUGUAAUGGAAAAGUUAGAGAGUGGCCACGGCUUUUAUCAUUUGUAUUAUGGGCUAAUCGAACAACACAUAAUUCGGUGACAGGAUAUAUACUAGUAGAACUUAUGACAGGUCAAAAAUCAAUUAUGUCGAUUGAAGAAAGGGUACUUAUUUGGAGUAUGCUACCAUGGGAAGAUGGAUUGACAAGAGAAGAACUUCUAGCUAUUAGGAUUCGACAAUUGGAGCAAAGAUCAGAAGAUGUGUAGAUAGCAUUGGAAAGGUUAAAAAGAGCAAGGUUACAAAACAAGGCAUGAUUUGAUAAGCAACAUCGAUUGAGACUUAAAGCAAUUGAAGAAGGUGUUUGAGUACUUAUUUAUGAUGGUAGUCUGGACAACCAAUAUAGCACUUUACGGAAGUUUUCAAAACGUUGGUUUAGAUCGUAUGUGGUAACAACUGUUCAUGAUAAUACGACUUACUCAUUGCAGGAGUUAGAUGGCACAAGAUUAAAAAUACCAAUUGCAGGGAAGAGAGUGAAAUUGUUUAAAUAAAGAUAUGUAAAAAUAAAUAUAGAAGAUCUUAAUGAAGACAUAGAUAUUCCGUAGUGGGAAGAUGAAAUUGAUUGGAUAGCAAAGACGAUGAAGAUGGACUAGACGAAGAUUUGGAGAACAUAUUAUGAAUUAAAUGGGAACUAGGUUAAUUGGUGCAUACCGGAGGAUGCACAAGUUCAGAGGGGGUGGAUGUCAUGUUGUAACACGUCUAUAUGAUGAAAAUAUAAAUGAAGAAGAUUUAUUAAUAUUUAGUCACCUUAGAUUUUAGAAGUGGCAGCCAAUUCCAGUGUAAAUAUUGAGAGGCCAAGUUCAGUCAUCCCGUUAUAGUCAGCCGGGGCAUACUCACCAAUAACAAAAUGCUCUAUUUGAUUCCAGUAACUGGAGUCAGCUGGAAGAGAAAGGACCAAUUCAACCUCCAGUGAGCCUGAUUUGGAGAGCCAGUUGGAUCCAAUUUCAAAAGACAUCUAAUCCAGGUCCUAUUAUGGGCCUCUUAUCUAGUAUGAGACCUGAUUUGGUCGGGCAAUCUAAUGCGGUCCAAUUACGGGGCUUCAAUUCCGUUUCAGGCUGUUCCGUUCUUUGUGCCAUUUUAGGAACGUCUUUUUGGUAAAAAGAUCUCUUAAAGGCAAAAAUGGGGGGAAGAAAGCGGGGAGAUCGGCUGUUCCAAUUUGAAGAGUCCAAGGCAGAAGAAUAGGAUCUUCUCAAGAUGAAAAGGGAGGGUAGGUUAAGAAAUGGAUUUUUUUUUCGAGAAUCAGGAUUUUAGGUCGGAGAGCUAGCUUCAUGCUUUUGGAAAAAGAUGGAAAAUUGGGGUUUUUUUUUUUAUAUAUAGGAUUUUGGAGAGACUAAGAGGGGGGUUGCUAAAAGUCAGUGUUAUAUUGAUGAACUGGAUUUUUUCGUAAGAAAGGAAAGGCUGGUACUCUUGAUUGUUGAUGGAAUGGGAGAUAUUUCUGUAGUUGAAAUUCAGAGUUGUCUAAAAGGUUGAGUAUGCUGAAUGCAUGCGUGGUUGUGUUAAUCUGACUGUACGGAUAGAGAAUAUUUGCCAAGAAUUUAAAGAGGUAUUCAGAGUUGGCAAAUUGAGGGUUGUUUAGGGUUUCAAUGUUAACUAGGGACCUACCGACAGGGAUAAGAGGAAUAUCAGCGAGCGGCCAAGGAACAUCGGUGUGGAUAUAGCAUAGCCUCACAAUCUGUAAGCGGGAUUGAAUUGGAACUUCUUAAGCAUUCGAAAGGGCUUGCAAAGAUACUAAUGAUAGGUAUUUUACAACAAAUCAAAAGGACAUAUUGAAGAUCUUAGCUUGCCGAAGUUCACAGUCUAGGAUUAAGGUAAUUAACGAUAAAGAUAAAAUAAAAAACAUAAAAUAAAUAAAAUAAAAUAAAAAUAACAAAAGAGAUUGAAGUUAUAUAAGAUCUCUAGGCGUUUUAUAUUGGAAUUAAGCUUUUACAUUGCAAUCUGAUAUAUAGAUUGUAUUUAGGUAGUCAAGAAUCCGAUAUAGAUUGUAUUUGGGUGGUCAAGAAUCCGAUAGACUGCUUGAGUACUAGCAAAACACCAUACUACCUCCUACUGCUAGACGCCCAAUGUGAUCUCAAGCAAGAUAGCACGUAAUACGAUAAUGUCCAAAGGAUUAGUAAUUUCGAUUGCAGUUCAAAUGGGUGCAGUGGGCGAUCAAAUGACUAGCGACGUGCCAUCACCUACUUUUCGGGAUUUGUCAAGUGUGGAUCCAGAUCAAUAUUUGUCUCAAUUCUUGACGAUGGGUAUAGCCAAUAAUGGAAGAAUAAAAGACAUUUGGCUGACAUGGCUGCGAGUGACAUUGAAAGACACAACGUUUGAGUGGUAUAACCGCCAACCUAUGGGACAAUUUAUCAAUUGAGAGGCAUUAAAAAGUAUAUUUUUAGCCUAUUUUUGAUCAAUUGGUUUUGAAAAACGUCUUAGAAAAAAAUUAAUGAACAGCAGAAUGGUACCAAGGGAAGCGAUACAGUCAUAUUAUGGUUGCGUAAUAGAUAUACUUUGAAAAUGGCCAAAUAACCAAAUAUCAAAAUCGUUUGUAUUGUCCAUAUUGGUUAAUGGACUACAUCCACCAGAAUUGAAGAUGUUUGUAAAGGAGGCCCAAUCAGCCACUAUUGUAUCAUCUCUUAAGUGAAUAAAAGUUUGGGAGGAAUGCCAUUAUGAUCAGUUUUUAACUAUAAGAGCCAUGAUGAUUCCUGUUCAAGGUAGAUAUCAAAAUCCGACUUGGAAUGAAUCAGUGGAUAGUUAUCCAUGGAUGUUAGAAACAGGGACCAAUUUCAAUACCAAUAUUCAGAGGCCAGUUAAUGUCACCUCAUUGCAAGCUAUACCACCGAACGUGACAACAGCGUAUGCUCCAUAUUUUUUGUAUCAACAACAAGCGUUAACUAUGGCAGAGAUACCAAUAAUGCCAAUCCUAAAAGAUUCCAAUGAAACCUUGUUAUUGAAUUUGACGAAGAAAAUGGAGGAAAUGGUGGUCAAUAUGGCCAAAGAUAAGGAGAAGAGGCAAAAGCCUACCAAUACUAGGACCAAUGUAUGGUGCAGUAAUUGUAAGGGCCACGGUCAUUCUGUAACAAAAUGCCCCUAACACUCACAAAUAAUGAGUCAAUGUACAUUUUGCGAAGAAAAGCACAUAACAACAAAUUGUUGGAAUUGACAAAGAUAACAACAAUAAUUUAGUAAUCAGACCAUGAUCCCACCAACCCAAUGGGACGUCAAUCAAGUACAAAUCAGAAAUACGUUUGAAUGGAAUAGAAAUCGAUUUAAUCGACAAAAUUGAGCAUUCAAUAACUUUCAAAGUUCUAAUUUUAAUCAGGGGUCUGCAUCGAAUCCUCAGAACUAUGGUAAAGAGCAGAUGAGGUAUUAGCAAUAUGCUCUACCAACGUCAUCAAACCAAGUUUCUUCAGUACCAAUAGAACAACCAGGAUCAUUUUCUAACCCUACAUGGAACAAGCCUAGUAGGUAUAUAUCGGUGGAGGCACCCUAUAUGCCUGAUGGGGGUGCAAGAAGACCACUUCAUUAUUUUCGUUGCAGACAGAUUGGUCAUUAUGCCAAUGAAUGUCCCAAUCCGACGACAUUUUCAAGGAUUUGGAUGUUAUUCAGCCUUCAAUUACAAUGAAGCAACUUUUGGCUGUAGCAGCGGAAUGUCGAUCUACAUUGAAUUCAGUGGUAAUACGACAAAGAUUUUGCACUAAAGAAAUUCAUGAAGUUAGCUUAAAUCCAGAUCCGGGAGCACCAACAAUCGAUGUAUCAAUCGAUGGCAUUUUAAUUCCAAGGGUACAAGUCGAUGGUGGCUCCAGUGUGAAUUUAAUGAACGUGGAUACAGUAGAGGACUUAGAUCUAAAGCAAUUGCUACCUACGACAUUGGUCUUGCGAAUGGCAGAUCAUAGUCGGAUAAAGCCAAUAGGAAUCUUACGCAAUAUUGCCACUAUAAUUGUGGGAUUGAUAUAAAAAAUCAAUUAUAUUGUAUUUUGAUUAUAGUAUUCUACAUUAUGAUAUCCCAUUUUAUUAGGCAGACCUCGAUUUUAUGAAGCCAAAACUAAAAAUGAUUGGGAUUGAGGCACAUUGACAAUUAGAAAAGAUCGUGACCAGAUUAUUUUAUAGAUGUAUCCAAUACAAUAUCAUGGAGAAUCUUAAUUGCCAAAAUCAGAGUUUACAUCAAACAACGAAAGUCAAUCGAUUGAGGAAAAUGACGAUGCUAUAAGUUCAUUGUAAUUUGGAGUAUUACAAAAUACUUCAACAGCAAAGUUAGGAGUCUACCAAUGUGGAGGUCCUGGCGAAUAUUUACUACAUCAGGAAGAUGCGACUAACUCGGAUCAUGCUAUUGCCGAAUGGAUGAACAAUUCCACAGUCAAUAGAGUUUGCACAUUGGAACCAGAUUUGGAUGGUUCCCAUAUGUCAAAUAAUAUAAGAUAUUCAGAUUAGGAGAAGACAAUUAAAUCAGAGGUUGUUGAAGACCCUAUGUGUUAAUCUAUUAAAUUGAGUACCAAUGAAAUGCCAUAGCUAAUUAAAAUAUAUGUCGGUAUUAUAGGUAUAGAAUUGGAUGCUUGGAAACAGUUUUUUGUCCAUCACAAAUCUACCUUUGCGUGGUUGUAUGUGGAUUUGAAAGAGAUUUUAGUUGAUGUGUGAGCACUAGAUUAUUUUGGAGGAGGGUGUUAUGCCAAUUUGUCAAAGACAACAUUGGCUUAACCCAAAAUAUUUUCUUUUAGUGAAAGAAGAAUUGAAUAAACUUCUCGACGUGGAUUUUAUUUACUUGGUACCAAAUAGUGAGUGGAUUUCUCUAAUCGUAAUGGUGCCGAAAAAGAAUAGAAAAAUCCAAAUUUGUCAGGAUUUUUGGAAACUUAAUGCGGCCACUAAGAAAGAUUACUUCCCAUUACCUUUCACGGACAGUAUGGGUAACAUGUUGUCAUUAUCACCAAGUAGUAAAAGAAUAGGAGUGAGGCACCAGUUAAAGUCAUUAUGUAGUAUUGUUUUGGGUUGACUAGAGUGCCAUUUUCUUGUAUUUCUUGUAUUUUCGAGAGUAGUAGUUCCAAUUAAGAGUUAACAGUGAGGAGUCAGUCACAAGUAUCGAUUGAAGAUAUUUUAGAAUAUAUGAAUUAGCAGCUAUAAUAAUUGGAACUUUGAAAUGUCGAGAUCUUAAAACUAGAUGCUCAAGUCCGUGUACUGGGUGAGUACAAUGAUGACCUUUCAGCUCAGUUGAGGCAGGAGCCGAUGGAAGGACUGGAAGAAGAAGAAGAAGAUUUGUAAUUGGAACCAGAUUUGGUCGAACCUACAUUCGAUAAUGCAGCAAAUGAUUAAUUAGGUGGACCAGAGGAACUAAUAACUUUGUAGAGAUUUGUUAAGUAAUUUUUAGAUAGGUAUCAAUUGAGUGUUUGCGAGGACGCUGUACAGAUAGGAGUAGGGCUAUGUAGAAUAGAUAUUAAUUCAUUUUUGAAAGAUAUUGGUAAAAUAUAUUAAUAGUCCAUAUAAUAGGAAAUUCAGGAGGACAGAUGAGUAAUUUAGUUCUUAAAAGCAGUUAAUUACAAAAUUACGGUUAGAAUUUGGAGAAUCAGGAGAAAGUAUAUACAAGUUGUAGAAGUUAAUUAGGGUGCCAGACUGUGAUAGUCAUGAGCCGAGGGCCAUUGCUGUGAUAGUUGUGAGCCGAGGUAAGCUUGGUGCUUCCUCUUUUCUUUUGUUUGUUAUUUUCUUUGAAUAAGAGGAUUGAGAGUUUUUCAAUAUUGUGAAGUGAAUUAUGGAAUGGAAAUGUGAUUGGUAUUAUUUGAGAAGAAGAAAGAUUGAAUGCUGAAAUCUGAUUGUAGUUCAGGAGAGAGAAUGAGUCUAUGUUUGUGUGAAACACCGUAAUGUGAAUGGCAAUUGUGUGUGAAGAAUUCCAGUGAUUGGAAUGAGGGUAAUUGUGU
rnacentral:lncRNA from 1 species